rnacentral:rRNA from 1 species
UACGUAGGGGGCAAGCGUUGUCCGGAUUUAUUGGGCGUAAAGAGCGUGUAGGCGGUUCGGUAGGUCCGUUGUGAAAACUCGAGGCUCAACCUCGAGACGCCGAUGGAAACCCCCGAACUAGAGUCCGGAAGAGGAGAGUGGAAUUCCCGGUGUAGCGGUGAAAUGCGCAGAUAUCGGGAAGAACACCCGUGGCUAAGGCGGCUCUCUAGUACGGUACUGACGCUGAGACGCGGAAGCGUGGGGAGCGAACAGG